ACAACAUUUGUUUUUCACGACCACAAGAUUCAAAUAUAUUUGUCUCAGAAAUCAAUUCAUUUCCAGCAGCUCAUGGAAAACAAAUAAAAAACGAGGAAAAUCCAGCUUUUAUAGAAGAUAUAAACACAAAAUUUUAUAGAAGAUAUAAACACAAAAUUUUAUAGAAGAUAUAAACACAAAAUUUAUAGAAGAUAUAAACACAAAAUUUUAUAGAAGAUAUAAACACAAAAUUUAUAGAAGAUAUAAACACAAAAUUUUAUAGAAGAUAUAAACACAAAACUUAUAGAAGAUAUAAACACAAAAUUUUAUAGAAGAUAUAAACACAAAAUUUAUAGAAGAUAUAAACACAAAAUUUUAUAGAAGAUAUAAACACUUUUAUAGAAGAUAUAAACACAAAAUUGAUGGAAAAUUCUUUAGAUGGCUGUAAUAAUGUUAUUGACUUUACACCACAACUUUCAACCCUUUUCACAGCAACCAGUUCAUUUCACACAGGCGAUUCUCAAACUAACAAUACACACACAUCAGAUUGUGAUAUUGACUUUAGAUGUCAUCUUUCAAGCCAAGAAAAUAAAAGUCAUGCCCUUUAUGCAAGAAACGUGUAAAAGAUAUACCAAAGCAUAUGAGGCAAGUGCAUUCAUACUCCGUUAGCAGUGCUGCAUCAACUACAGGACAGUAUGGAUUAAGAGGAAAGAUUGAAAAAAAAAGUGAAAAAAAAGAUUACGAUUGCUACAGACAAUGCCCUGUGGAUAAAUGUUAUAAGGUUGUGCUGCACUUACCACAACACCUAAAAUCAGUUCAUAAGAUUCAAAAAGGUGAAGAAUACUUUAAUCUCUUAUAUUCAGCAAAGAAAAUUUCUACAGAACUAAUGCCAAAAAAUAUUCUGACUUCUCCAAAAAAACUAUAUGGAGAUUUACCAACUGAUUUUACAUUGAACAAAACAAAGAAGCUAAAUCCAUUUAUAAAAAUUGAACAUAAAAGUUUUAUUAAGGAGCUAACAUAUGAGUCAUCAAUAAAUGACGAAGAGUCAUUAUCAGAUAGUAAAAAUACAGAAACCUCUUCUGAUGAAGAAUAUACAAUACCUCUGCGUGAUGAUAUUAAAGAAAAAACUUUAUCCAACUAUGUGGAAAAUCUACUUAACCUAUUUUUUAAUUUUAUGACUGGCUCCAACCAUGGAUGCAAACAAAACUCAGUUACUGAAAUUGUUCGAGAUGCGAGAAGAAUUUUGAUUGAAGUAGGCGUAUAUGAGGAUAUUAGCAUUGCAUUUGAUAAAAAUUUGGCUACUUUAGAAAAGAAGUACAUCCAGGAGUAUUGUAAAAAAAAAGAUAACUAAAGCAGGAUCUAUAAGAAAAUAUCUCUCUUCGUUUAGAUGUUUUUGCCAAUUUCUUAUGCGGCAAGAUGAAGAUUAUAAAGUUGAUAUGAAACUAUUAACAAAUGCUGAGUCUCAACUUAAGCAAUGGAUUCGGAUUUAUACAAAAAAAGCUCAAAUAUAUAGUUACCAACGUAAAGCUGAUGACAUGGAAAUGCUUAUUGAUAAAGAGCAAGUUGAGAAAUACGAGAAAAGCAGCAUUUUUAAAAUGGCAGAAGAUCUUUUUGAACAAAAAGAAAAGAUUUGUAUAAAUACAUCACUCAAUAGCACUGAUUAUUGCAUAAUGAGGGAUCAUCUACUAGUAGUUAUAGCAUUAGGAUGCGCACAAAGACCAGGCGCUUCAGUUAAUAUGAAGCUAAGAGAAUAUAAAAAAGCUAAGCAACUUGACAAUGAACAUUUUGAAAUAGAAGUGUGGGAGCAUAAAACACUUUUACAUCAUGGUUCAGCUCGAAUUAUUUUAAAUCAAAAAGAAUUUUUGAAACUAAAAACCUUUGUGGAAAGAGUUCGUAUAAUGUUAGACCAUCAAAAAUCAAACAACAUUUUUUUAAGUUGGAAAGGAAAUAAACUCUCAUCUGGAGAUGUAAGUAAAAGAUUGCACAAUUUAUGGAAAAACUGUGGCAAUUCGAAAACAAAGGACCAAUAAAAAACUUAACAGCUGGAGCAUUUAGAAGGUCAGCAUCUACAGGUGUUCGUAUACAAGGAAGCAUAUACCAAAAAGAGGUAGCUACACUUAUGAGUCACACUAAAGAAACAGCUGAUGAAUAUUAUGAAAUAAUAGAUAAAAGAAAUGCAGCAUUGAAAGGUAGUAAAGAAGUAAGAAAAAUGUUUCACUCAGUCAUGAUGCCCAGUGAUAUUUUAAAAUCUUCACCUUUAAAAACAACAAAUAACACACCAAGAAAAAAAUGGUCUACAAAAGAAACAAACCUUUUACAACAGAAUCAGAGUCCAAUGCAAGAUAUUUUGAAAGCUGUAAAUGCAUCACCAAAACAAAUCUAUGAUAAAAUAAGAUCAUUAAAAAGAAAGGAGCACAUUGAAGACAAAAAAAGCACAAGUGUAAAAUCUCGAGUUAAAUGGACAGAAACACAGAAAUAAGAGUUGAGGGAAAAAGCAAUAGAACUAAUUAAGGAUCCAGAAACAAUAAUAACUAGAAAAAAUGUUGAACUUUUAUUACCGAACUUAAUGAAAAACUUUAGUUUUGUUCAAAUUAGGACAAGAAUCAUGUAUGAAAGACAGAUUUUUAAAAACUAGACUUGAAAAUCUACACACACACACACGCACACACACACACGCACACAGUUGUAUAUAUAUA
rnacentral:misc_RNA from 1 species